rnacentral:lncRNA from 1 species
GAAGUUGGAGCGUCUGCUCUUACCCAACAUAGCAUAGAGAGAAGGCAAAUGGAUGCGGCGGAGAAACGGCGCUCCAGCAACUUCUGUCUUCAACAGGACUCGUUGGGGCCAAGGUUGGCUGUACAAGCGAUACUUCAUAUGGUAUAAAGCAUGAGUAAGAGGCAGCGUGUGUAAUUCGGUCGCCCCAGACCCAGGGCAGGAAGGAACCCCAGGGGACAGCCAUGGACAUCAGUCACCGGAGAUGUUACAUAAACAUUGGAUUAGGCCUGCGGAUUCAGUCCGUGGAUCGAGGAAGUGAGGUGCGUGGGGGCGGCAGGUUUCAAGGUCCAGACUGAGACUGUAGGAGGAGCAGCCCUUUUAUUUCCAAGCUGGAACAGCAGGAGCAGAGAGUUGUCAAAUAAACCAGACUGCAGAGAUUGUCCCGUGAUCCAGACUGCGUCUCAUCAUUCAGUGCACCAGAACCUUGAAACAAAACUGAACGCAACGCAGCCAAGUUCCGCACCAGUUUCACCUGUUUUGCAAUGUGUGUGUUCCAGAGUGGCAGGAAUCUGAUUGUGGAGCCCUGUGAAGGCAGUGG